AAUUUUAUGCUUCAAUUGUUUAUUGUUCAAUUGCAACUGAAUAUGGAAUUAUGUGGUUUUUUUUUUGUUGUUUUUGUUUUUGUGUGUGAUCAAUUUGUGUUUAACGAGGGACUUGGCAUGAAUAAUGGGUUUCAUUUAAUUGGGAAGUGAAUAAUCAAAUCCCAAGAAGGGGUUUUGAGAGGGGUGAGCAUAUAUAUAUAUAUGUAUAUAUAGUUUAAAUAACCCGGAGUCUGGGUCAGCUGACACACACUUCGAGUAAUACCGGUCCUGAAGUUAACUGCCGGCAAACCAAGAGGUGAGGCAUAGUUAUUACACAUAUUUCUGAAACCUAGCUUUGUGCUUGUUGCCACACCUAAAACAAUUACUUUAAAUGCUAGGAUACUAAACUUUUAACCAAACAAAUGACCAAAUGUGUGUGUGGGUCCGCAAUUAUGUGGACCCUACACUCAUAUGAGACAAUUAGUCAUUUGUUUGGUAGAAAAUUUGGGACUUAGCACAUUUUCCUGACUUUAAUUCUCAAACUUUGGGCUUUGGAGUCUACUUGCUUACUGGAAUCUAUUUACUUUGCUAAGAGUAACUUCAAUGGUUGGACAGGGAGAGAGCUAGUUAUUGCUAUAAUUUCUUGGCUAUAAUUUUGCUAGGGCUGCAAUCGAAACCAGCUGAGCCGAGCUUUAGUAUGUUUGAACUUAUUUAUUAAGAUUUUAAUAAGUUCGAGCUCGAGCUCAAUAAAAAUUUAAUGAACUGGACUUGAGCCGAGUUGGCCUAGGCUUGACUCGAGUUCGAGUCUGUUUACAAACUUUAGCAAGCAAAAAAAUUUAUAAAUUCAUACUUGCGUAUAAGACUAAAGUUAUAAUUAGAAUUUUAAUUAUAUAAUUAUAUAUACAAAAUAUAUAAAAAUACUAAAAACAAGUUAAUAUUUGAUCACCUACUACCACUUUUAUAUAAAUGUACAGUUAACUAUUAUUUACAUUUAUAUUUUUUAAAUAUAUAAAUAACAUAUAUUUUUAUAUUAUUUAAUAUAUAAAUAAUAAAUGUUGAACGAGUCAGCUAACGAGCUGAGUUUUAGUAUGUUUGGACUUGUUUAUUAAAAAUUUAAUGAGCUCGAGUUUGAAUGCAAAAAAAUGUAAUAAACCGAGUUCGAACGAGUUUUUACCGAGCCGAGUUUGAGUCUGUUCACGAACGGUUUUGUUCAUUUGUAGCCCUAAAUUUAGCAAUGAAUGUGUUAAAAUGUUUGAUUUUAGCAAUCUUGCUCCAAUGGUAUAAUGUAAAAAUUUUCAACUUUUCUCAUUAAAUCAAAACGCUACAUGUGGGUCCCUAGAGGAGAGAUAUAGACACAGUUUUUAGCUUUAGGUAAACCUUGUGCUAUAUUUAACACAAUGUUUACCUAUAGGUAAUAUAUAGCAAGCCAAGUUACUUACUAUUGGAGUGGGAAUUUGGAAGCUUCAAGGCAAAAUAUAACAAUAGCAUGCCAUAGAGUACGCCCAUUGGAGAUGCUUAGUGCUAUUCUAUUGCUAGUUGAAAACCAAUGCUUGCUUACUAUAAUCUUGCGUUUAGCCAUCAUGUUUGAAAACAAAUGCUUGCUGAAUUUUGUGCAGUAAUCUCUUACAUUUAGCUAUUUUUCUAAGCUUGCAAAACUAGUAUGCCUUUACGUGUGACUGAACUUGAAUGCGCUUUUGCGUGUUUCCCGUUUUUCAUUUUGUUCAGUGAAUAGGAACUAACAUAUGUGGAACCAGCAUUGAAUGGAGAAUUUAACUGAUAAGCUUUAAACAGGAAAAACUUGGGCCAAUCAGGGGAAUAACACCAAACAAAGGAGAAAAUUUGAAUCAUAAAGAUAUAUAUAGUUUUCAACCAGCCAAAUUUAUGAAUUUUUUGUUGCAUAUGAAACUACCUUAAUCAACUACAACAUUUUGACUUUGAAAGACACCAAUUUUGCUAAGCAGAUUUGGUGUCCAACAUUUUGCCAUAACUAUCAAAUCAAAGCUCUCUCUUUCAAUUCCAAAAGUGGUGUCAUUUGUCUUAUGUAAUGCUUUUCAAAUGCAAGUUCAUUUGUAUGUUUCUUUCUGCUGUUUUUUUUAGCGGAUCAAGGACUUAUUUUUUAUUUUUAGAAAAAAGAGCAAGGAAUGGAAUGAGAUAUGCUGGUUCAUUCAAAAUAUCAGUCUCGUUCUUCCUCUAAACUGAUGUCAUUCCUUUAUUUUCUGUGGGUGUUAAAAGCAGCCAAAAGUUUCAUAACCAAAAUUGAGAGUGAGAGCAACUUACCCAAAUCAAACCAAACCAAACCAAACCAAACCAAACCAAGUCUUGUGUCCUGACCCAAUCAGUUAGGGUCGGCCACACAAAUCACUUUUUUCCAUUCCACUUAGCCAAGGGCUCACACUGGCAGAGCUAAUAAGAGUGACUGGAAUAACUGAAAGUAAAAAAAUGAGGAUGAGUAGUGGCCCUGCUUGUUUUUUAAGGUACAUCAGAAUUUAGUGGCCCUGCACUACCUUACUGUGUUUAAUACCCGUGUCACAUGGAUUCUUUAUUUCUCCCAAAGUAUGGGUAAGUGUG